rnacentral:rRNA from 1 species
GACGAACCGAGCGAACGUUGUUCGGAAUCACUGGGCUUAAAGGGCGCGUAGGCGGAUUCUCAAGUCCGGGGUGAAAUCCCACAGCUCAACUGUGGAACUGCCUCGGAUACUGGGGGGUCUCGAGGGUGGUAGGGGUAUGCGGAACUAUCGGUGGAGCGGUGAAAUGCGUUGAUAUCGAUAGGAACUCCGGUGGCGAAGGCGGCAUACUGGACCACAUCUGACGCUGAGGCGCGAAAGCCAGGGGAGCAAACGGG